GCGGGUACUCGAGUGGCGAACGGGUGAGUAACACGUGGGUGAUCUGCCUUGCACUUCGGGAUAAGCUUGGGAAACUGGGUCUAAUACCGGAUGGGACAGCUGUUUAGUGUCAGUUGUGGAAAGUUUUUUCGGUGCAAGAUGAGCUCGCGGCCUAUCAGCUUGUUGGUGGGGUAAUGGCCUACCAAGGCGUCGACGGGUAGCCGGCCUGAGAGGGUGUACGGCCACAUUGGGACUGAGAUACGGCCCAGACUCCUACGGGAGGCAGCAGUGGGGAAUAUUGCACAAUGGGCGGAAGCCUGAUGCAGCGACGCCGCGUGGGGGAUGAAGGCCUUCGGGUUGUAAACUCCUUUCGACAGGGACGAAGCGUAAGUGACGGUACCUGUAUAAGAAGCACCGGCUAACUACGUGCCAGCAGCCGCGGUAAUACGUAGGGUGCGAGCGUUGUCCGGAAUUACUGGGCGUAAAGAGCUCGUAGGUGGUUUGUCGCGUCGUCUGUGAAAUUCCGGGGCUUAACUCCGGGCGUGCAGGCGAUACGGGCUGACUUGAGUGCUGUAGGGGAGACUGGAAUUCCUGGUGUAGCGGUGAAAUGCGCAGAUAUCAGGAGGAACACCGAUGGCGAAGGCAGGUCUCUGGGCAGUAACUGACGCUGAGGAGCGAAAGCAUGGGUAGCGAACAGGAUUAGAUACCCUGGUAGUCCAUGCCGUAAACGGUGGGCGCUAGGUGUAGGGGGCUUCCACGUCUUCUGUGCCGUAGCUAACGCAUUAAGCGCCCC
rnacentral:rRNA from 1 species